GCAGAGCAUUAGACCAUAUACAGUAUUAUUGCACUUUUAGGAUCAGUGAUUUUGCCGAUGAGGGAAAAUUUCUUCUUGUUCCUCAUGAACACGUGAAAUUCAUCCGCCGAAACAAGCAAAUCAAAACGAGUUCGCCCAGUGGAGACAGUCAGUGAGGAAUGAAUCCAACUUGAGAAUGUGUUGAACGCAUUUCUGUCACGGGAACCAUUUGUGGAAUUCGGUGUGGAAUUUUAGAGACACACAUUUCAUUCGUGGCUGUCCAGCGCGGUGUCGGCCAUGUUCUUCAUGACGGGCAGAAACUCCGAGGUGAGCAGGGCGUCGUGGCGAUUGACGGCGAGCCGCAGCACCCGGCUGUCCCACAGCUCCACCACCAGACGCAGCUGCCAGAGGGGGAAGGUCUGCAACAGGUCGCCCCGUCGCAGAGCGCCGACCGCCUGAGAGACACCAGUAAAAAACAGGGGAUUUGAAAAGUGUAUAAAACUUUAUUAUGUGCAGAUCAAAUUUUUUGUGACUCUGGGUUUUAAUCACUCAGUGUAUCAAUCAAAAUUAAAAUCAACCAACAGAUACGUUCACAUUUAAUUUGACUAUGUUUACUUAUUUAUUCAUGGGAAAAGUAAUAAAGUAAGGUGAAUCAACAA